GACGAACGCUGGCGGCGUGCCUAAUACAUGCAAGUAGAACGCAGUUGCGAACGGGUGAGUAACGCGUAGGUAACUGCCUGGUAGCGGGGGAUAACUAUUGGAAACGAUAGCUAAUACCGCAUACUACCAGAUGGACCUGCGUUGUAUUAGCUAGUUGGUGGGGUAACGGCCCACCAAGGCAACGAUCCAUAGCCGGCCUGGGGGGGUGAUCGGCCACACUGGGACUGGAACCAGGCCCAGACUCCUACGGGAGGCAGCAGUAGGGGAUCUUCGGCAAUGGGGGGAACCCUGACCGAGCAAAGGCGCGGGAGUGAAGAAGGUUUUCGGAUCGUAAAGCUCUGUUGUGAAGGAAGCGGUACUUAACCAGAAAGGGACGGCUAACUACGUGCCAGCAGCCGCGGUAAUUC
rnacentral:rRNA from 1 species